rnacentral:rRNA from 1 species
CUGGCGGCGUGCCUAACACAUGCAAGUCGUACGAGAAAGUGGAGCAAUCCAUGAGUAAAGUGGCGACCGGGUGAGUAACACGUGACUAACCUACCUUCGAGUGGGGGAUAACUCCGGGAAACCGGAGCUAAUACCGCAUAACAUCGAUGCUUCGAAAGGGGCGACGAUCAAAGCAGCAAUGCGCUUGUUGAGGGGGUCGCGGCUGAUUAGCUAGUUGGCGGGGUAACGGCCCACCAAGGCGAAGAUCGGUAUCCGGCCUGAGAGGGCGCACGGACACACUGGAACUGAAACACGGUCCAGACUCCUACGGGAGGCAGCAGUGGGGAAUUUUGCGCAAUGGGGGAAACCCUGACGCAGCAACGCCGCGUGGAGGAUGAAGCCCUUUGGGGCGUAAACUCCUUUCGACCAAGACGAUAAUGACGGUACUGGUGGAAGAAGCACCGGCUAACUCUGUGCCAGCAGCCGCGGUAAUACAGAGGGUGCGAGCGUUGUUCGGAAUUAUUGGGCGUAAAGGGCGCGUANGCGGCGCGGUAAGU